GCACGUGUUACACCACCCAGCCCCUGGCUGUCUGACGUCCUUCGUGAACAUCGGACUGACCUCAGGGCAGCUGAGAGGAGAUGGCGGAAAUCUAAAGAUCCAGCAGAUCUAGAACAAGCUGCUGGAUGACAAUCAGUCAGGCUUUAAAAGUGGACAUUCCACUGAGACUGCCCUGCUGUCUGUCACUGAGUCGCUGAGACAGGCGAAAGCUGAAUCCAGAUCAUCAGUCCUGAUUCUGCUGGACCUUUCUGCAGCCUUUGACACAGUCAACCAUCAGAUCUUACUCUCUACCCUCUCCUCGCUGGGCAUCACAGGAACUGUGCUUGACUGGUUUAAUUCCUAUCUCUCAGCCCAUCGACACCACAGUGACUGCUCGAAUUUCUGCCUGCCUGGCGGACAUCUUGGCCUGGAUGAAGGAGCAUCACCUGCAACUCAACCCAGCCAAGACUGAACUCCUUGUCUUUCCAGCCAACCCUGCUGUUGAACACAACAUCACCGUCCAGCUGGGUGCAACUACAGUAACGCCUUCCAAAUCAAUCAGAAAUGUAGGGGUAACCAUCGACAACAGACUCAAUUUCACAGACCACAUCUCAAAGACCGCAAGAUCAUGUAGAUUUACACUCUAAAAUAUCAGGAAGAUAAGACCCUUCCUCUCUGAACAUGCCACACAACUGCUUGUCCAGUCACUUGUCAUAACUAGACUGGACUACUGUAAUGCUCUCAUUGCAGGCCUCCCUGCAUGUGCAAUUAGACCCCUCCAAAUGAUCCAGAAUGCAGCAGCACGUCUGGUCUUUAAUGAACCAAAGAGAGCACAUGUUACACCACUCCUUGUCUCUCUCCACUGGCUGCCGGUUGAUGCACGUAUCAAAUUCAAGGCUCUGAUGCUGGCAUACAGAACAGUCACCGGGUCUGCUCCAGCAUACCUUAAAUCAUUUAUGCAGAGCUACGCGCCCACUAGAAGCCUGCGGUUGGCUAAGGAACGUCGCCUUGUUGUACCAACACAAAGAGGCACCAGAACACUUUCCCAUACUUUCAGCUUCAUCGUACUACAUUGGUGGAACGACCUUCCCAACUCCAUCCGUGAAGCUGACUCACUCUCUGUCUUCAAAAAAUGACUAAAAACACAUCUUUUCCAUGAGCACUAA